AGAGAGAGAGAGGUCAGAAUGAGAUGAGAGAAAAGAGAGGAGAUGAGAGAGAGAGAGAGAAAUGAAAGAGAGAUCCGGAAUGAGAGGAGAGAGAUAGAUAAGUUAUGGGUAGAAAAGUAAUUCUAUUAAGUUUAAUUGAAAUGGGCAUAGGAAAAAGUUUUUCAUUGGGGUGGGCAAAACCUUUAAAAUUAGUACUAAAGUGUCAUUUACUCUAUUUUAUUUUAAUUUUUUAUUACAUUUAGUUCAAUCAUUAACAAAUCUGAAUUUUUUUUAUAGUUUUUUGUUUUAUUUGAUAAAAUUCUAUUAGAUAUAUGUAUAUAAUAGGCCCGGCCCGGCCCUGAUAAGCCUGUAAGACGGGUACCGGCUCGGGCCUGUGGGUUUUGAAUUUUUUGAAUAGCCCAACCUAGCCCGGUCUUAAAAUUUAAAAAAUCAUGAUUGAGGCGAGGGCCGGCCCUACCCGAACCCGUAUGUAUAGGAAUAUAUAUAUAGUUGAAUAUACAUAAAAGAACAUAGUUGAAUAUAUACGAAUAUAUAGUUCCUAUCCAGAGCGAAGCUUCGCUCUGAAAUUAAAGUGUGAAGGUCCUUUUUUGGCUCACUUUACGGUCACAUAUCCACAUCUCCGCCGUUUAGUUUUUAGAACCUAAUGUAUAAAUCACUUCUGCCAAGUUUCAUCCAAUUGAACCGUAAACUGAACGGUGGAGAUGUAGAUACGUGACCGAAAAGUGAGCCAAAAAAUGACCUUCACACUUUAAUUUCAUAGCGAAGCUUCGCUCUGAAUAGGAACUGUACGAAUAUAUAGUCGAAUACUACUUUGCUCGUGGAAAGUGGAAACACAAAAGAACCAUACAUAAACUCAGAGGUGUAUCUGACAGUUUCCCGUAGCAUGUAUGAUUUCAAAAUUGACAUGAAGGGAGGCAAUAAUGAUGAGUUUGAAUGUUUAGGGUUUAUAUGUUGGAAUGGUGUGAAUGAAAUUUGAAAUAGUAGGUAAAGAGAGGCUGGCAUGGACACCCUUUUGCCGGACAAGAAAACAAGGGGUGCCCCGACGGCGGUGGCAAACUCCAUUAUUUCUGGUCAGAAACUAAAAGAAAAAGGAGAGAGAAUAUUCACUAUUGAUUCAUUGAAUUGUUGUAUGAACUUUGAAACAUGGUGCUGGUGUGAACUUGUACACAGCGAAGACAUGAACAAUAUGAAAUGCUCGAUCAGUUUGCUUAACUAGUAUACCUUUGGAAUCUAUCAGUCUCUUUCUCUGCGAAGCUCGGGACAUGAUGAGACAGCCAAAUAUUCUCUAUGAUCAGCGAAUCCUGGACAAGGGUCGUCGGUCUCUCACUCUCUCCCAUCAAACUUUCACUAGCUUGCUACUCAUCUAAUUGGUCAAUUAUAAGCUAGUUUCGCAAGUUAAGUAGUAUUAUUACAGGCAUGUUGUUGCUUAUUUUGUUUUUAAUUUGAAAAAAAAAUGACUGUAUCAUCAAUUAUUGAACUCGAGUCGUAGCAUCAAGUGAAUUCCAAAAACGAUGUUUGGAAAGUCUAACCAGCUAGCAUUUGAAUUUUCCUUAAUCUACUGCUAUUGUAGG
rnacentral:lncRNA from 1 species